UACCACAGAGCUUGUGGUGGGCAGUGGUGUGCCUGAGCCAGCUCAGGGAGGGUUGGAGUCUGGCUUGAGGAUUCUUCUGAAGCAGCUGACUAGCUGGCUUUUAUUGCAAGACAGAGAACACAAGAUCUCUUCAUUGAUCCUGCAAGGUGGCUGUAGUAUUUUGCCUUGAAAGACUGGAAGUUCCCUCCAUGAGAACCUGGGAGGACAAGGAUGGCCUCCUGUGCUGUUCUGCAGAGAGGAGCAGCCUUCGAUGGUGAGCAAAGAAGCAGUAGCGCAGUCCCCUCUCGGGAGCAGCACCAGACUCUAGAAUGCUGCCAUGAAUGUCUUCAACUCUCUGCAUUGUAUGUAUUGAAGAGAUUGGAUAUGCUGCACUUGCUGAUCAUCCAUGAUGGACACAACAGCCUCUAUUUGUGUCCUGGAAGAGGCAGAGAGAAGAACUGGCACAGGCCCAGCCCUGGCAGCAGCACGAUCAUCUAGAAUGCCAGAAACCAGCUCUGCUCCUCCCUGCCACGGGAGCAGGCUUUGAAGGGGUUGAAAGAAGCAAGACCACGGUGCCUCCCUCAGCAGCACUCUCUCUGGCAGUCAGCUCCUGGUGUUCUGCAGGGCAGCCUUGGAAGUGAUGGGAAGAAUUCGUGUGGUCCAUGAUGAAGGAAAACCAGGUUCUGGCUGGUCCAGGCCUGUGCAUGUCGAUAGUUGGCAAUAAAUGCCCUGCCCUCUUUGCCCACGCUGGUGCACUCUUUUCCUUCUGUCAUGGGGCUGCAGCUGGCCAGGGAAUUGGUACCAAAGGUUUGCCUCUCCCCGCCAGAUUUGUUGGAUGGGUGGCACGUUGUCCUCACCACCACCACCACAAACCAAUAAAUGCUAACCUGCAACUUCAGCCUGUUCAGUCUAGGCAGCUUGUUCAGCCAGCCCCUUGGACUCCCUCAGCCAGGAGUGAAGCAUAAGGCCACCCUGCUGCCAUCUGCCUUGACCCUCAUGCUGGGUCUCCCCCUCUUUGACUUUGAAGACUCCCUCUGAAGAAUAUGGCUACAAGCUCAUCUUUUUCCUCAAAGAAAAAUCUGUGUCUUCCAAAGCGAGACACUCUUUCUUAGUGAAAAAACUGCUCCGGCCCCUCUCUUUGGAUCCGGGAGCCCAGCUCUGUAAUUGGAUACCAGCGCAUGCCAAGAAAAAACUCAGCCAGUCAGAACAACUGGGGUAGUGGUGAGCACCAGCUCGCAGCUUACAGCAGGGGGCACAUCCAUGCAGCUUGGGAGGAACUUCAGUCGGACAAAGAAGCAGGCCAAGAACGGAGUGAGGCGGCGAAGGCAAAGUUCUGUCCCCAGGCUAACCAGCCAUGAGUUCAAACGGUUGCCAUUAUUGUGACCAGCCAGUUCACGGGAAACAAAGGAGAGGAAAAGGAGUGCCCAUGAUGUCCAUCAGCCAUGGGGCCUUGGCGCAGUGGCCAGCCGUGAUGAAAACUCCCAGGGCCCCAACAUGUUAACUCAGCUGAGCACUUUUGGAACUGGCUUCUUGUUGGUUGUCUGUGUCUUGUUCUGUAAAGGGAAAUGUUGUUGAUCCUCCAGUAAAUAUUGGCACAGUAUGUUUGACUGAAUGUUACUGACAAUGCAGUGAGAAAGGGCCAUAGUGCCUCACAGUCUCACAACCCGCCUCUGCGUAGGUUGAGCUCUUGUAUGUGAAAAUGUUUUUGUAAUGUGACAGCACUUCUGUAAACCUUUUGGGAAAGGACUUGCUCUGCAAAUUGAACACCAUUAUUCACAAUUAUCUGUGGACAUACCACAUAAUUGGGCUACUAAAUUAGUUAUGGCCUCAGCAACAGAAGGGGCUUCUCAGCAGUGCCUUGGGUGGCCAACUGAGGCACUGGAUGACGGGCCUCCUUCUUUGUGGGCCUCCCCUGAAGAAAAAGGGAGCGCUGCUUAUGGCUGGACCAGAUACAUUACCCCUAAGAAGGGCAAGCUCUACUUUUCCCCCUCAUGGUAUCAAAUUUAUUGUGGGGUUUCUGCAGCUGUCUUUGCGACUGCUAAUAUGAUUUUCCACCACAGUAUGGACGAUGUUUCUGAUAUUGCAUUUCUGUUUUGGUGCUACAUCCAGGAGGCCCACAGGUGGCAUCAGGCUGAGAGAACAGUGUGAACAACACAAUGCUCCACCCCUUGGGUUUCUAGUUGGGAGCUGUAAAGCCACAUGUCUUUGUCUAAGCCUCUCUAUGCUUUGCUUUCUGAGUCUGAGCAGAAAGAAGACGUGAUGGCAUCCCAGUCUUGGGAGCAGCAGGAUCAGCUAGACUGCUGGAAAGCUCCUCCCUGCUGGUGGUGAUGGUAAGGAUUUCUACAGGUAGUGUUGGGUCUUCACUGUUGUGACAUGAGCAUUGUAGACAUUUGUUUUGCAGGAGCAGGCUCUGAAGGUGUGGAAAGAAGCAGUACCAGGGUCUCAAUCAGUAGGGGCAUCUUCCCUGUGCCCGAUGUUGCAGAGGAGCAGCUGCAGAAGUGGCAGAAACGAUCGGUGCAGCCGCAGCCUCAGCCUCAGGUGCAACACGAUUCUCGGACACAAGAAACCUCUGUGACUGGUGGCAGACAUGCUUGACGUUUGGAUCUUGUCACGAACCCAGCUCUGACCGAGAUGACUCACAGGCCAGUGUGGACGCCCUCAAAAACCCCUUGCCUGUGUUGUAGCUGGCUCUGUAUUGAGGCUUCUCUUCGCCUGCACUGUUGGCAGAAGCACCUUGCAGGAUGUCUUGCUUCUCAUUCCUGUGCUCUGCUCUUGGAUGUCUCCGCUCCUGACACUUGAACUCUGACUUUGCCUGCUUCAAAUGGACUGACACUUUCCUUCAGCCUCGCACCCCUCUUGCCCAGCCGGGACAGCCAGAAGACGGACACUGCUCAGCCUUGGCUCUGCUGCCUUGGUCAGCAUUGUGGUCUUCCUUUCCUGAGUACCUGAUAAUCUGCCUCUCCAGCCACUAACUACAUCAGUGUUGUCUUGGAGUCUCCUGUGAGAGGAGAGACGCUGUGCCCCUGGGGCUUAUAAAGAGGGAGGGUGUGCCCCCAAGAGGCACACUGGAUCUAGUCUUCCACCAAGUGAGACUACCUGUGACUCUAUCCAUCACCUGCCCUGCCUAGCAUCCCCCCCCCAUCUGAGGAAGCACCAGCUGCCACUGAGGGAUGGGCCUUGUCUGGGGCUACGCUGAGACUCUGGAAUCCAUUCCCUGCAGAAAUCAGAGCCUCCCCAUCUCAAACUACUUAAGACAUUGGACACAUUUCUUCACCCAAGCUUUUAAAGUAGAUGUGGCUUUAACUUCCUGGUCUUUGACUGUAAUAAAGAUGUGUAUCUGAAGGUUUUA